GAUGAACGCUGGCGGCGUGCUUAACACAUGCAAGUCGAACGAGAAAUGGAGACGGAAACCUUCGGGCGGAAGGCUUCAUUUCGAGUGGCGGACGGGUGAGUAACGCGUGGGUAACCUGCCUCAUACAGGGGGAUAACAGUUGGAAACGACUGUUAAUACCGCAUAAGACCACAGCACCGCAUGGUGCGGGGGUAAAAACUCCGGUUGUAUGAGAUGGACCCGCGUUCGAUUAGCCAGCUGGCGGGGUAACGGCUCACCAAAGCGACGAUCGAUAGCCGAUCUGAGAGGAUGACCGGCCACCUUGGGACUGAGACACGGCCCAAACUCCUACGGGAGGCAGCAGUGGGGAAUAUUGCACAAUGGGGGAAACCCUGAUGCAGCGACGCCGCGUGAGUGAAGAAGUACUUCGGUAUGUAAAGCUCUAUCAGCAGGGAAGAAAAUGACGGUACCUGAGUAAGAAGCCCCGGCUAACUACGUG
rnacentral:rRNA from 1 species